rnacentral:misc_RNA from 1 species
GAAAUGCGAUAAGUAAUGUGAAUUGCAGAAUUCAGUGAAUCAUCGAAUCUUUGAACGCACCUUGCGCUCCUUGGUAUUCCUUGGAGCAUGCCUGUUUGAGUAUCAUGAAAUCUUCAAAGUAAAUCUUUUGUUAACUCAAUUGGUUUCUACUUUGGUAUUGGAGGUCUUUGCAGCUUCACACCUGCUCCUCUUUGUUCAUUAGCUGGAUCUCAGUGUUAUGCUUGGUUCCACUCGGCGUGAUAAGUUAUCUAUCGCUGAGGACACUGUAAAAGGUGGCCAAGGUAAAUGCAGAUGAACCGCUUCUAAUAGUCCAUUGACUUGGACAAUACUUUUAUGAUCUGAUCUCAAAUCAGGUAGGACUACCCGCUGA